GCUAGUCGAGCGGCAGCGCGGGGAGCUUGCUCCCUGGUGGCGAGCGGCGGACGGGUGAGUAAUGCAUAGGAAUCUGCCCGGUAGUGGGGGAUAACCUGGGGAAACCCAGGCUAAUACCGCAUACGUCCUACGGGAGAAAGCAGGGGCUCUUCGGACCUUGCGCUAUCGGAUGAGCCUAUGUCGGAUUAGCUGGUUGGUGAGGUAAUGGCUCACCAAGGCGACGAUCCGUAGCUGGUCUGAGAGGAUGAUCAGCCACACUGGGACUGAGACACGGCCCAGACUCCUACGGGAGGCAGCAGUGGGGAAUAUUGGACAAUGGGCGCAAGCCUGAUCCAGCCAUGCCGCGUGUGUGAAGAAGGCCCUCGGGUUGUAAAGCACUUUCAGCGAGGAAGAAGGCUUGGCGGCUAAUACCCGUCAAGAAGGACAUCACUCGCAGAAGAAGCACCGGCUAACUCCGUGCCAGCAGCCGCGGUAAUACGGAGGGUGCGAGCGUUAAUCGGAAUUACUGGGCGUAAAGCGCGCGUAGGUGGUUUGGCACGCCGGUUGUGAAAGCCCCGGGCUCAACCUGGGAACGGCAUCCGGAACGGCCAGACUAGAGUGCAGGAGAGGAAGGUAGAAUUCCCGGUGUAGCGGUGAAAUGCGUAGAGAUCGGGAGGAAUACCAGUGGCGAAGGCGGCCUUCUGGCCUGACACUGACACUGAGGUGCGAAAGCGUGGGUAGCAAACAGGAUUAGAUACCCUGGUAGUCCACGCCGUAAACGAUGUCGACUAGCCGUUGGGACCUUUAAGGACUUAGUGGCGCAGUUAACGCGAUAAGUCGACCGCCUGGGGAGUACGGCCGCAAGGUUAAAACUCAAAUGAAUUGACGGGGGCCCGCACAAGCGGUGGAGCAUGUGGUUUAAUUCGAUGCAACGCGAAGAACCUUACCUACCCUUGACAUCCAGAGAACUUGGCAGAGAUGCCUUGGUGCCUUCGGGAACUCUGAGACAGGUGCUGCAUGGCUGUCGUCAGCUCGUGUUGUGAAAUGUUGGGUUAAGUCCCGUAACGAGCGCAACCCUUGUCCCUAUUUGCCAGCGAUUCGGUCGGGAACUCUAGGGAGACUGCCGGUGACAAACCGGAGGAAGGUGGGGACGACGUCAAGUCAUCAUGGCCCUUACGGGUAGGGCUACACACGUGCUACAAUGGCCGGUACAAAGGGUUGCGAGACCGCGAGGUGGAGCGAAUCCCAGAAAGCCGGCCUCAGUCCGGAUCGGAGUCUGCAACUCGACUCCGUGAAGUCGGAAUCGCUAGUAAUCGUGAAUCAGAAUGUCACGGUGAAUACGUUCCCGGGCCUUGUACACACCGCCCGUCACACCAUGGGAGUGGACUGCACCAGAAGUGGUUAGCUUAACCUUCGGGGGAGCGAUCAC
rnacentral:rRNA from 1 species